GGGCAGAAUCACCCACUGAGUCCCAGACACAAACUGCAUGAGGGUCUACACAGGUAAGAAGGUCGGUCUCCGAGGCCUGGGGCUCCAGGCCCCCUCAGCUCUGGGACCCUGAGCCCAGCCCCUGUAUCCCUCUGCCCUCCCAAUGGACUCCAGGCCCCUGCUGGGCACACUCACACUGCACAGAGAGGUCCAGGGCUCGCUGCUGGGAGCCAAGCCUGUUCUCCGCUCGGCAGGUGUAGCGCCCUGAAUCCCCAGCCUUCACCCCGGGCAGCUCCAGCCCCAGGGGUCUAGGGCCCCAGGGAUGGGACGAGGAGAGGACUCUGUUCUGCAGGACCCAGCUCAGUGUGGCAGGGGGCUGGCUGUCAGCAGCACAGAGGAGCCGCAGGAACUGGCCUUUUUGGGCUUCCAGGGAAAAGAAAGUGGGACUAUCCCGGGAAGACAAGUGACAACCAGCGCCAGGGCUCACGUGUGUGGACCAGACGCCAUUCCCAUCCCCCUCCCAGGGCUGCGGCGGCAUCCUGGGACCCCACAGCUUCCUCUCCCUGGAUGCUCCUGAGCUGGGAGCCGCUCACUGUCCCACUGGGCUCCUCCACCUCCCCACCCACCGGGGCUGUCUGCACACCCCACCCUCCCAGGCCACACUCACAGGCCACACGGAGUCGGACGGUCCUCUGUGCGCUCACACCCUUUCUGGAGAAGUCCACAUGGCAGGUGAGGUCGGUGUUGUGGUCCUGGGGUCUGGGCGUGAAGCUGAGCACUGAGAAGUGGGAGGUCGUUGGUUUGGUUCCUUGGGAGGAGAGGGCAGCCCCCGUCCAGGAGAAAGAAGGGGGUGGACAUUCCUCAAAGGCCCAGUUAAACACACAGAUGACCGUCACCGGCUGCCCGGGCUCCAGGGUCUCGGGGAUGUAGACAUCAGGCUUCUGAGUCAGGGCUGGGACAGAGACCGUGGUGGGAGAUUCUUGUGCUGCAGGGGUCCCUGAGAGCCCUCUCUGCUCAGCCCAUAGGCUGUCCCCAGGGUCCCUCCCCAGUGUGAGAGGCAGGGGUUCCCACCCCAUUCCAUACCUGUUACUUUUAGAAAGAACCCAUCGUUCAUGAAAUUAUAUCUCACAUAGCUUCCUCUCUCCACCCGAAAGAAGUACUGUGACUCAUCCUGCAUCUGCGCGUCUCUGAUCACCAAGGAGCAGUUCCCCUUGGCGGGAUCCCCAGUGAGCUGGAAUCGGCCCCGGGUGCUCAUUUCCACCUCUCGACUCUGGUGGUUUGUGGCCACAGGAGCACCCUUGGUUGUCUCAGUCACUGCUUUGAACCAGUAGCCAUAAGCUGGGGUAGACCCUGUCCAGUCCUGUCGGGGGUAGGAGAAAGAGCAGGGCACAGAGAUGCACAGGCCCUCCGGCACCAUCACUGACUCCUGCACUCGUAUCCAGAAUCUCCCAUCCAUAGCCUGGGACCCUGUGGGGAGACAGAGGCUCAACCUGCAACCCCAGCCCUAGCUCCGCCCCAGGUCCUUUCCGGCCCUUGGCCCACUCACCGCCCAGCAGCGAGGACAGCAGCAGUGGCAGUAGCAUCUCCGCAUAGGAGGCGCAGGGCCUGCCUGAGACAGGCCUGUUCUCUGGUCGUGCUGUGAGUGGCUCAGGGCUCUUGGCAGAAGGGGAAGCCGAAGGCGGAAGCUGAGCCCUGGGGCCUGAUGCAUGAAAUGAGCUUCAGACGCUGAGCUCACAGAACUCCUUUGCCUUCCCCCACACUCUCCGGCCCACCUUGCCCAGUUGUCCUCUGGGUCUCCUGGGGGCCCAGCCUGGCCUUGGGCUUGUUGAGCUGGUCCUUCCAGAGCUCCCUGUGUAGGAGGAGAGGGCAGGCUUGUGUCUAUCCUGGGGGCCUGGCUGGGGGUGGGGUAGUGGGGUGGGGGCUCUCCCUCUGGGCCCUGGGUCAUCGGAAAAGCAGAAGUGAGAAGUCCACAGUGAGCUACCCUUAUCUGGGCCACUGGUGGUGGAGGUGGUGGGUACAGGGGAAGGGACCGUUACUGGAGGGGGCUGGUCUUGUCAGGUAAAAUGCAGGAUGCCUGGUUAAAGCUUUCACAGACAAUAUAAAGUAUUUUAUUUUAUGUUUUUUGGUAUAAGUAUGUCCGAAAUGCUGCAUGGGAUAUACUUAUACCAGAAAGCAAAAUAAAUUUAUCUGAAAUUCAAAUUAAUUAAUUAAUUAAUUAUAUUUUGAGACAGAGUCUCACUCUGUCACCCAGGCUGCAGUGCAGUGGUGCAAUCUCUGCUUACUGCAACCUCCACCUCCCAGGCUGAAGUGAUUCUCCUGCCUCAGCCUCCUGAGUCUGGGCUUACAGGCACGCGCCACCACGCCAAGCUAAUUUUUGUAUUUUUAGUAGAGGUGGGGUUUCACCAUGUUGGCAGGGCUGGUUUUGAACUCCUGACCUCAAAUGAUCCACCUGCCUUGACCUCCCAAAGUGCUGAGAUUACAGGUGUGAACCACCGCACCUGGCCUAAAAUUCAAAUUUAACUGAGCAUGUUGAAUUUCUUUUUUUCUAAAUCUGGCCACCGUAGGGUGGUGUCAGCUCCACCUCUUCAUGCUUCCUGGUGAGCUCACUGACCCUUGGUCCCCAGAAGCAGUCUCCUGCCCCAACCAGGCCCUAGUCCACUUCCCAGUCUCCCUUCCUCCUCUGUCAUUCAAUUGGGACACCCAUUGGGAUUAGAACACAUAUGUCCAAAGCUAAUGCUGAUGGGAAGAGUUUGAGGAAGGCGGGAGUGAGGGGCAGAGUGGGGGGAACAGACUAGGGAAGGGGUAAUUUGCAAUGAAUGGAGUAAACUCUACAAGAUGUUUUCCCCU
rnacentral:lncRNA from 1 species